rnacentral:rRNA from 1 species
AUACUUUGGUCGGGCUUUUGGGUCUGUACUGGCGUAAUGGAUUCCUACCUUCUGAAUAACCGGCAUGCCAUUAAUUUGGUGCGCCGGGGAAGCAGGACUGUUACCUUGAAAAAAUUAGAGUGCUUAAAACAGGCUAUCGCCUGAAUACAUUAGCAUGGAAUAAUGAAAUAGGACGGCAUGGUUCCAUUUUGUUGGUUUCUAGGAUCACCGUA